UACGUAGGGGGCAAGCGUUGUCCGGAUUUAUUGGGCGUAAAGAGCGUGUAGGCGGCUUUACAGGUCCGUUGUGAAAACUCGAGGCUCAACCUCGAGACGCCGGUGGAAACCGUAAAGCUAGAGUCCGGAAGGGGAGAGUGGAAUUCCUGGUGUAGCGGUGAAAUGCGCAGAUAUCAGGAAGAACACCCGUGGCGAAGGCGGCUCUCUGGGACGGUACUGACGCUGAGACGCGAAAGCGUGGGGAGCGAACAGG
rnacentral:rRNA from 1 species